UUUAUGAUACAAUAACUAACCCUAGAAUAGAAUCGAUUCUUUAAGGCAAAAUCAUUUUUCGACUCUAUGUAUGAAUAUUAUACUUUGAUAUAAAUUUGUUCACUGAAUGAGAAACAUUUGAUAAAAACAUUCCAUCACCCUCUGAAAAAUAAAACCACGCCUCCUGGUCUGAUGGAGUGCAGCAGUGGUGAACACUACUUUACAUCGGGUGGUAUUGCAAAGGAAAAAAUUCAUAAGCAUUCGUUUUACCAUCGAAAACGUACGGUUUUUCAUUUACAGUUUUCCUAACAUUCAGUAUGAUAUAUAGCUUGCAUGCAUGUAAGAGAGAGUGGCAUUGGGAAUGGUUACCCAUCGAUAAACCAUUGCUCACCUCGUUUUGGCCUUGGUAUACCCUUGUUUUCUCAAGUUGAAAGUUCCCAAGGCUACCAUCACUUGCAUGUAAUAUUCGUACAUUGUGUAAAAUGUUGAAACAUAUGAUUGAAUGGAUAUAUAUAAUUUCAGUGUUUUCAUUUUCGUUGAAGUAAGUGUCAUUUAAAGUUUUAUAGUCCGAAUUUCGACGAUUUUUUGCCACCUUGUAACACCCCUGUUAAACCAUCGCAUGUACGUAUUGAUGAGGCUGUACCACACGUCAUACAUUAUUUCACCUGUUUUAACCAGAAUAUCAGUGUUUACAAACAACCGUCACUUGGCCAUUUCUAGUGAUAACUUUAAAAACUUAUCAAUCUGAUUUAAAGAAAUUCUGUACAUAAAUGAUACAUAAACAUCGGAUCAUACAGCUGUAACAAGAGCAGACUGUUUUGAUUUCUUUUAUAUAUUGCAAUAUAUUUGAAUUAGAGGUAUUUGUAGCAAAUUGUGUGUAUAACCUGCAUUAACAGUGAUAUUUUGAUGUUCUAAACGAUUAUAUCCUAGGUUUUACUUUAAGCGGUCUUGGUCCAUUCUUCAUCAUAUUUGGGUAUUUGAGAAAAAUGUGUAUUUCCUAAGCUAUAUUUAAAUGGCAUUGCAUCAUUUAUAUUUGUAUUUUGAUGCUUAAAAAAAGAAAUGGGAUUUUCUUUAGGUCUAUUUUAAACGGCCUUGGACCAUUCAUAGUCAAUAAAGCAGAUCACCUGCCCUUCCUGGUUUUUCGGUAGUUUACGUUUGAAACUGAAACUAACGACAACAGUAACCAGAAGUAUAUACCAGGUUAUUUGAUCACUACAAUCUACAGGAAGUACAGAUAUAAUUCUGCACUCGUUAAUCACUUAGACUGUAAUGGAAUCUCUCCUUUUGUGCUUCAAAUUUCUGCUGUGGAAAAAUUGUUUUUCACUAUAUUUUUGUCUUAUUAACAUCGUGAAUCAGAGACAUUUCCCGAGACCUGUCCUGUUAGAAAUUUAAAAUUCUGAAGCUUACUCGUGGCUUUGUCAUAUCUGUUUAGAAAUAUCAUCUGCUCAGCGUAUGACAUUUGAAUGUAGUUAAAUGAACAUUAUGCAAGUUGAUUAAACAGUCAAAACAACAAGAAUUCUAGUUUACAGGUGGUAUAGUUUUGUUAACUUCAUCUGACAUGACAGGUUAGUCAAUCAUUGACAAAAUGAACUCUGUCCGACUCUCCUCAGCUUCCAUUUCAGAGGUUUUGUCGAUUGAGGUUUUAGAUAAACAUGCCUGCCGUCCAUAUGUACACUAUAGCAUCAGGCAACUAUAUGUAAUAUUUUCAAAUUUGAGUUAUCCGUGUUUGUCUAACUCUUAUUUUGUAUCCUAAUAGGAGUUAUGAGAUGCUCACUGUUUUUUACCUUCACCUUUUCAUUAUGUAAGGUAGAAGAAGCAUUCCGUCCAAUAUGUGUUCUUACGAGUUGACUGACUAUGAUUCAUGAUUAAGAUGGGGAAUAUUCAAAGAAAGGGAGGUGCAAUGGGGCGGCACUCCGGAGUAGGGUACGUGUAUAUCAUCAAAGGCGGCUCAAAAUUUAAAGUAGGAUGUUCGAAGGAUCCGGCAAGAAGAGUAAGAGAAAUCAAAAGACUGAAACCAAAGGCCAAACUGUUCAAAGUAUUCAAGGCAAGGGAAAUGAAUAGGGCAGAGUCUGCUGCCCAACGAUCAAACAUUAGGAAAGGAAGCAAAAGGGCGAGGAAGGUUGCCACUGAUUGGUUUAUCAAAGACAAGAGAAAAUCUUAGAAAGCCAUAGCUAGAACGACAGGGAAUGCCGUUUACCGCCAUAACGGGAUUAUAAAAGCUCGAAGAUCAAGGAGAAAGUGAAACCAACAUAAACAAGGAACACUUAACCAGAGCACGCCAGUCCAUUACUAUGUUUACAACUUCCGGAUUGGACUCUUGUAAUGUUAAGAAUGAUAUUAAACACUGUACAUUUCAUCCUCCUGAAAAAAACCUUUCUUAUGUUACGGAGUUUUUCUACAGUGUGUUAAAAGCGCUAAUAAAAAGAGAAUCUUU